UACGAAGGGGGCUAGCGUUGCUCGGAAUCACUGGGCGUAAAGGGCGCGUAGGCGGCUGAUUAGUCGAGGGUGAAAGCCCGUGGCUCAACCACGGAAUGGCCUUCGAUACUGGUUGGCUUGAGACCGGAAGAGGACAGCGGAACUGCGAGUGUAGAGGUGAAAUUCGUAGAUAUUCGCAAGAACACCAGUGGCGAAGGCGGCUGUCUGGUCCGGUUCUGACGCUGAGGCGCGAAAGCGUGGGGAGCAACAGG
rnacentral:rRNA from 1 species